GACGAACGCUGGCGGCGUGCUUAACACAUGCAAGUCGAACGGUGAUGGGUGGAGCUUGCUCUGCUUUGAUCAGUGGCGAACGGGUGAGUAACACGUGAGUAACCUGCCCCAGACUCUGGAAUAACCCCGGGAAACCGGUGCUAAUACCGGAUAUGACACAGAAUCGCACGGUUUCUGUGUGGAAAGUUUUUCGGUUUGGGAUGGACUCGCGGCCUAUCAGCUUGUUGGUGAGGUAAUGGCGCACCAAGGCGACGACGGGUAGCCGGCCUGAGGGGGCGGCCGGCAAAACUGGGACUGAGACCCUGCCCAGACUACUACGGGAGGCAGCAGUGGGGAAUAUUGCACAAUGGGCGCAAGCCUGAUGCAGCGACGCCGCGUGUGGGAUGGAGGCCUUCGGGUUGUAAACCUCUUUCGCUUUUGACCAAGGCAGCAUUUUGGUGUUGUUGAGGGUAUGAGGUAAAGAAGCUCCGGCUAACUACGUGCCAG
rnacentral:rRNA from 1 species